UACGUAGGGACCAAGCGUUGUUCGGAUUUACUGGGCGUAAAGGGCGCGUAGGCGGCUUGACAAGUCACUUGUGAAAUCUCCGGGCUUAACUCGGAACGGCCAUUGAUACUGCAAGACUUGAAUUAUUAGGAAGUAACUAGAAUAUGUAGUGUAGCGGUGAAAUGCUUAGAGAUUACAUGGAAUACCAAUUGCGAAGGCAGGUUACUACUAAUGGAUUGACGCUGAUGGACGAAAGCGUGGGUAGCGAACAGG
rnacentral:rRNA from 1 species